CCUGUGCCGAAAGAACAGCCUGGAUCUCUCCAUUCGCCUCACCAAGUCCGACGUGCCAGGUUCCUGUUGAUGUGACUUGCCCUCCGCUGGUUCCUACCAGACCCCUUCAGGCCAGGUGAUGACCUAGAACUUUUGCAUCCUCAGCCUAACCCCAACGCAGUCCGUAUUCAUGACCCCAAGUCGCACCCACAAAUAGAUUGCUCAGAGCAGCAAUAGUGGCGAUGGUCAGGGAAGUUCUGAUGCCAGAUCCAACCUGGGACGCUUCGCCAACGACACUGUGGCCCAGAGGCCAACACGGGCUCGAUCCGUUCCAGGACUCAGGCAUCCGAUGAGGAUCAUGCAUCCAGGUAGCCUUGGGCCAGAGGACAACAGGUGAGCAGCAUCACCUGCACAUGGUGAAGAGAUGCUUAGAAGCAGGACGGGAGCCAAGUGGUGCCAAGUGCACUGUGACCCUCCCUCUGUCAACAAGAUCUGUCAGGUUUGAAAAUGAAAGUAAUUUGCAGGGAGUCGUCUCUGGACGGCUGUGCAGCUAAAACCCGAUCCCAUCCAACUGGGGAGUGACAUUAGCUGAGGCGGAGACGUCUUCUGAGAUCCUGCUCUUCUCUCCAUGGCCCUCUGGGUCUGAAAGUGGUGGCCGUGCGGUUCGCCCCGAUUGUGUGAAGAGUCACCGCCUUCGUCUCGCCACCCGUGUUCUCCAGCUGUUAACAACCACCCCUGAUGAGACUGCAGGUUGUUCCAGGCAGGGGGGAUGAGCCGAGGGGAAGGGACAUGAAUCCACAGGGGAGCGAGGUCGCCCCAGACGCUGCGCGCACACGGCGUGGAAUGAGGUCCCCGUGGGCUGCGUUCUGUGGGAUUCGACGGUGGCGCUGCCGGCACAGGCGGAUUCUGUUUGGACAUGCAGAGCCGGUGACUCAGGAGCCGAUCUGCCCGGCGAGGCUGUUUCCACGCCGCCUGGGCCCCGGCUCCAGCCCCUGACUGCAGGGACCAGGUCAGCCGAAGGCCACGAAGGAAACUCUGGGGAACCAAGAGGAGGAAGGGAGCCGGCCGCAGGGAGGGGAGAAAAGACGCGUUUGUGGGACGACAUCCUGGCCGUCCCCCCAGGACUCUCCUCGAGGGGGAGAAAUCACGCCAAGCAGCCCGGACAGUGCACUGCGGGCGUCCUUUAG